UCAGAACCACCCUACUUAAAGGAUUCUUAUUUUGCCUCUUCCUUGGAUGUGUUUGGUACAGUGUCCCUGAUUCUUUUUCAAGGGCCGCUGGAAGAUGCCAUUGAGGAUGAGGACGAAGAGUAUCCAUCGGAGGAGGCGGAAGGCAUCGCUAAAGGGGACUUUCCACUGGAGGGAAGCUUCCCAGCAGACUUUGGGCCAGAAAAUCUGAGCUGCGAAGAAGUGGAGUUCUUUUGUAACAAAGCUGAGGAUGAAGGGUCCCAGCAGCCAGCAGAAUCCGAUGGGGACAACCAUUCCGACAAACCUGGGCAGCCUGGAGUGGACACAGAUGACUGGGAUGGCCCAGGCGAGCUGGAAACCUUUCAGAGAGAUGGGGAACGAAAAAUUCAGAGUCGGCAGCAACUUCCAGUGGGAACAACCUGGGGCCCCUUUGCUGGGAAGAUGGACCUGAAUAAUAAC